AUGUGUGUGUCAAAAGACCAAGGAGGAAUGGGCUUCCGAGAUAUACAUUGUUUCAAUCUGGCUUUGUUAGCCAAACAAGUGUGGCGUCUCCUUGAUAAUCCAAAUUCCCUAUGUGCCACCAUCUCAAGAACUAAAUAUUUUCCGAAUGGCGACUUAAUGAAUGCAAGUCUAAAAAAUGGUUCUUCCUUUACUUGCAAAGCAUUAUGGCGGGAGUUGAUUCUCUCAAACAUGGUUAUAUUUGGAGCACUGUUCAAGAUAUCUUCCGAUAUUCCGAUAAAUCGACUGAUUUAUCGCUUAUCGAUGUCUGACCGAUAA
rnacentral:rRNA from 1 species